AGGACGACGACUGGCGGCGUGCCUAAUACAUGCAAGUCGAACGGUCUUUCUAUGGAAGCUUGCUUCCACUGAGAAGAUAGUGGCGAACGGGUGAGUAACACGUGGGUAACCUGCCCAUAAGAGGGGGAUAACAUCCGGAAACGGGUGCUAAUACCGCAUAGUUUCUUGAUCGCAUGAUCGGGAAAGGAAAGACGGCCUUUGUGCUGUCGCUUAUGGAUGGACCCGCGGCGUAUUAGUUAGUUGGUGAGGUAACGGCUCACCAAGACGAUGAUACGUAGCCGACCUGAGAGGGUGAUCGGCCACAUUGGGACUGAGACACGGCCCAAACUCCUACGGGAGGCAGCAGUAGGGAAUCUUCCGCAAUGGACGAAAGUCUGACGGAGCAACGCCGCGUGAGUGAAGAAGGUUUUUUCGGGAUCGUAAAACUCUGUUGUCAGAGAAGAACAAGUUGGAGAGUAACUGCUCCAGCCUUGACGGUAUCUGACCAGAAAGCCACGGCUAACUACGUGCCAGCAGCGGC
rnacentral:rRNA from 1 species